GACUGGGAAAAUGAUAAAAUUCGACACUGUUAACUUAGCACGAAAGCAAAUAAUAAGAAGACGAAAUAACAUGUUGAAGAAAAACUAAGUGAUUAUAUUGGAAGGUAAAUUUGGGGUAUAAAAAAGAGUGUGUCGAUGUGUCAGUGAAGCAAACACUGGAAUGUAAAAAUGUUUGUCGCCCGUGUAGACCUUCCAAAAUACUUAUAAAAUUCCAAAAUGAAAAGUAAUUUUUCUCCCCCAACCUAUGAUGUUAACCCCCAGGCUAAUUUACUAAUCAUCCCCAGCCUCGCCAUCAGCCUCCUCUUCGGCGUCGGCCUCAUCACAUGUUGGCCUUCCUCUUCAGCAGGUGGCUCCUCCACUCUUAGUUGGUCACCCAUGUCCAUUGGAGCUUCGAGUUGAACCAAGACGCCACUAAUGAUGUACUUCUUAAUGUCAAACCUGACAGCAUAUGGCUUGGCAACCCCCUAGCAAAACAUAUGCUUGUCGUAGGGCCUUGUUGAAACCUUCUUUGUGUUCAAACACGACACCCGCGUUUAGUUCAGUGGUCCUCUCCUUGGCCCGCUCGAAGUCGUCCGUCAGAACCUGAUUCUUCUUGAGGAGUCCCUCCACAAUCUCCUUUUGCCUAGCAAAACAAUAAAUUUUACACAUAAAUGGUUGGCACCAAAUGUCACACCACAACAACAUUAUUAGGUCAUUGAUCAUGAACUCAAUGUAACAAUAUCCAAGUUCUUCCGACAAAUCUAAGACAUUAUUCACGCCGCCAUCAAAAGGGUUAGAAAUUUAUGUCGGCGUGAUCUUAAACAUGUUAAGUUGUAUUUAUUGAAGCUUAUUCAACUCUUAAGAGCCUAUGUAGAACAUCAUAAGAUUGUUUCCUUCUCCUUUGCACAUUCUUCACUACAAAUAGGUAAGUACUUCAUUAUUGUCCCUAUUUUCAUUC
rnacentral:lncRNA from 1 species